rnacentral:lncRNA from 1 species
GAGUAGGUCAAUCUAUAUAGAACUCAAUCUCUACUUCCUCUAUAGAUUCAAUUUUUUAUUUUAAUUUUGAUUCUGAUUUCGAUCACGAACUAAAUAUUUUAAAAAAUUUAUUUAUUUUAAUUUUAAUUUUAAAUUAUUUCGAUUUUUAUUUUUAUUUUGAGUAUGAUUAUAUACCAAACAUCUCUUUAAAUUAAUCACCGCAGCUUUUGUGGCAAUCCA